GGAGCACUCCCCUUCCAGUGAACUCUACAAGAGGAAAGAGAUCGAUGUGAAAUACAGCAUCUUUGUUUCAGUUGAAAGCUCCUUCAACUACUGCAGUUUCACUUUUGGAACAAAUAAUUUGCAGAAACCAGUCCAACAAUCAAUCAAGGUUACAAAUAGCAUCAGAG